rnacentral:lncRNA from 1 species
CUCAGGCUCUUGUAGAAAGUGGGAGUGACAUGCCUUCGAGCAGUUCUAAUCCAUCAAAUGAAGAGUCUCAUGUUCCUCAAAUGCGUAGAAGUCAAAGGGGUAACAUUCCUCGUCGUCUUUUUGAGAUUGAGGGGAAUGCCUUUGUAGCUGAUGCGCAAGACGAUGAGGAACCUCGAUCUUAUUGAGAUGCUCUAGCAUCUGCUAUGAGAGAUAAAU